GACAGGAUGACCGAGUGGUUAAGGUGCAGGCCUGCGUAAGUAGCCUUGAUAACACACCAUAACUCGAUUUCCAACUAACAACCCCAAUAGUAAGCCUGUGGGUUCGCCCGCCUGGGUUCGAAUCCCAGUUCUGUCG
rnacentral:tRNA from 1 species